rnacentral:rRNA from 17 species
GACCUUUCAAGCUCAUUCGGCGGGGCGAGGAGAGAACCGUGAUCCUGAACGCGAUUAACUCAGUUCAUGAGGAUCGGGACAAGAACAAGUUUGUUUUGCUCGAAGAGAUGCUUCGAUACACGCACGUCAC